AACUGAAACAUCUAAGUACCUGGAGGAAAGGACAUCAACCGAGACUCCGCUAGUAGUGGCGAGCGAACGCGGACCAGGCCAGUCAUAAAUGUGAGACAACCAGAACCUGUCAGGAAAGCAGGGCCUCAGAGGGUGAUAGCCCCGUAUGGGUAAUGCAAACAUUUAUGCUCGAGUAAGGCGGGACACGUGAAAUCCUGUCUGAACAUGGGGGGACCACCCUCCAAGCCUAAGUACUCCUCAGCGACCGAUAGUGAACCAGUACCGUGAGGGAAAGGUGAAAAGCACCCCGACGAGGGGAGUGAAAUAGACCUGAAACCGGACACCUACAAACAGACGGAGCCCAAGACUUGUUCUGGGUGACGUCGUACCUUUUGUAUUAUGGGCCAGCGACUUAAUUUAACGAGCAAGCUUAAACCGAUAGGUGUAGGCGUAGCGAAAGCGAGUCUUAAUAGGGCGCC
rnacentral:rRNA from 1 species